rnacentral:rRNA from 1 species
GUGGGGAAUAUUGGGCAAUGGGGGCAACCCUGACCCAGCAACGCCGCGUGAAGGAAGAAGGUUUUCGGAUUGUAAACUUCUGUCCUUGGGGACGAAACAAAUGACGGUACCCAAGGAGGAAGCCCCGGCUAACUACGUGCCAGCAGCCGCGGUAAUACGUAGGGGGCAAGCGUUGUCCGGAAUUACUGGGCGUAAAGGGAGCGCAGGCGGUCUUUUAAGUAGGAUGUGAAAUACCCGGGCUUAACCUGGGGGGUGCAUCCUAAACUGGGGGACUUGAGUGUGGGAGAGGAAAGUGGAAUUCCUAGUGUAGCGGUGAAAUGCGUAGAUAUUAGGAGGAACACCAGUGGCGAAGGCGGCUUUCUGGACCAUAACUGACGCUGAGGCUCGAAAGCGUGGGGAGCAAACAGG